GUCUCAUUCUGACUGGAUUCAGAUAUCUGAUAUUUUGGCAGUUUCUACUAUUUUCCAGAUUGUUGAUAUUUGUGAAAGCUGCUAACAAUGGAAAAGUGCAUCUGGACACUUGGGAAGGAACAACACUGCACAACUGUUCCUCCUGCAGCUGUCAGGCUGCAGCUCAGGGGUGCAAUUUCAAAGCUGGUAGUGGGCUUUCCCUUGGAGAAGUUGCAUGACACGGUGGAAUGUCUUUCUUCUUUAUAUCUGUGUUGGCUAAAGGAAGACAGAGGAGCUUGAAAAGGCUCGCCCUCCUCAAGGAACGCUAUCUGAUUUGUAAGCAUUCCUAGAGGUUAAGGCUGGUGACUAUCAAGAAAGCAAAUACUUCACGCAAGGCUGGGAAAACGCAAUGCAUAUAAAAUCCAGAUGGAUACCAAAUGAUGCUGGAACCAGCCCCGGCCAAUCAGCCAUGUCACUUUGAUUGGAGGAAACCUAUAAGCAUUUAAGCAAAAAUCCAAACCCAACAAGAUAGUAAGAGCAGCAAACUGGCUUCACUCUGGGGUUUCAUCAGAGCUCUGGCCUCCCCACACAUUACUGAAAGGUCCAGCGUCAGGACAUACUCAGGACAUCUCCCAGAAGCUCCAAAACAAUUUGCUUUUGGACUUUGAGACCAUGAAACCAGAGGGACCAAAUACAGUCCCUCAGAGCAGAGUGGAUAUUCCUCCUUCAUUGCUCAUAGUCCUAUUUGUCUGUCUUCUAAAGAAGCGAACACAUCUGCUGGGGGGUUGAAGGAGCCAGGAGUGUCUGAAGCAGUUCGACGAAGCCCUAGGACUUGCUGGUGCUUUUUGGAUUUCCUGGUGGACCAUUCAGAGUGGGAGAGAAGGAAAUAUCCUGCACCACUGCUCGCCUUUCGAAUACAUUUGAAAAUACCUGCCAUGGAACAUUGUGUCCCUGUUUGCUUUUCACACUGACGGUGGCCAGAGCUCAAGUUACAAGUAUAUCAAGUUGCCUCUAAGAACACCAAAGAAUAAAACUGUGAUGCUUCCAAGUGAAGCUGGAGUUUCCAACAAACCUUGUACAAUUCCUCGCCUGCGAUAUUUCUGCAGCUUGGUAUUCUCCCCUCCACAAAACUGUUAGAUGCCCUCAAUGGAUGAUAGAGAGCAAAGAUGUGCAUAUAUUCAGGUUGAAGUCAAGGAAUGAAAAUGAUCUACCAUGGACAAGUGUUUCCUCUGGUAGCAAUGUGGUAAAAAAGCAGCAGCACUGAUGACCCCUGAUUAAGCUUGUCCAGCAUCUCUGAUAUCACACAACAGUUACCCUGAUACAAGAGCUGAAUUGACUGAGAAAAAUAACUGGACACGACCAAGAUAACAAUCAUAAUAAUUCAUCCUUCCAUUUCGGUUUGAAAAGGAGGUAACUAUUCCUGACGUGAACAGACCAGAAAAAAGUGACUUUCCCAAGAUCAUCCAACAGUAUAUGGACUGGGGUCCAAAUUGCCAGGAUCCUACCCAGUACUGUCUCCCCAUUAGGUCACAGAGGAGAUCUUCAGCUUUCAGUGACAAUUCCCAUUGCAGUGAUCUUUGGGAUUGCCUAACAGCAACCAACCUGAGUCAGUGUUGAAAAUAAAGGAAUAAUUUGCUCCAGAAGGUUCUGAAAGCAAGUGCAGAAAAAAUUUGGCUGUAGUGCCUGUAAUGUCGUAUCCUACUGUCCCGAUUUCCCAUCUGGAAUGACAGUAAAGGGAGCUGAGAAGUUACCAUGGUGGCUGCAAUAAGAACCGACUGCUUUUCCCUGUCUGGAAGCCAUCUGAUCUGUUUUGCAUUCAAAGCCUUCGCUGGAAGGAGUUAUGGCUCUGUGAAUAUUAUUGUGUUCUUAGUCAUACAUUUAUUAGAUAUGAAAUAUUUUCACUGAGUACUUCUUAGAACCAUUACAGAGCAAUUUAACACUUUUAUAUGCUUUAGCCAGUCUUAUUCUUUGUCUUCGUGACUCUGACUAUCCCUUUCCCUCUCCCAAAGAAAAGAAGAUGAUGAUUUAAUCUAGGAGACAUGCUGAGGGCACCAACAGAUGUGGUUUUGCUGCUCCACACUCUGACUCAGGGUCUUUUCCAAAUCCCCAGAUGAAGUCAAUGCAACUGUUUCAUUGCUUCAGAAGGGGUUUGGGUGAGGCUUUUUUCAUGAUACUGGGAAAGGACUUUGCCCCCUCUGCUGAACACACACUGUUAUGAAAUAGGGAUGGCACUGGGAACCCGUGUUUGAACUGCUUGCCUGGGAGCUGCCAUCGGACAAACCACAUGUUACGAUGAUGGAGAAGGAAACAGUUAAUGGUCCAGUCACUAUUAAUAUAGGUUAAAAACAAGUAACUUUUGUUUAUAUUUCAUUGUUGUUUAAAGUACUCAGAACUAAAAAAGGAAAAAUCUGAUGAAUAUGCUGUGUUUACAUUGACUUAGUUCCCAUUCACAUUUUCCUGACACGAAGAAAUACCUCCUCAGCUCAGAAACAUGGGAGAAAGCUUCAGACGUCAGAGGGAAAGUUUCUUUUGCGUGAGGGCUCUGUUUUGCAAUUUUUCAGGCCCCAAGCAUGAUGCAGGAGUCAUUUCUCAGGCCCCAUUAUGGCUGCUCCAAGGAUGCCUGGCACUGGGGGGAUUGUGUGUGGAGCUGGACAUGUUUGCAAGACCCUUUGGAGGCUGCUCAUGGUCCCAGAGAGGGGACAAAGACAUGCUGACCCCACGGGGGGCUGGUGGUAGCCAAGACGAGGAGGUUGGUGCCUGGCUGCCCAGCUCGGAGGUGCUGUGCUUUGCUUUGCUGCUGGGGGAUUCCUGGUCCCUCCCCACCACUCCGCGUGUCCCUGCCUGCUCGCCGAGUCCUCCGGCUCCAUUGAUUUAUUUAUUUCUUCACGCAGAGCUCUCCGAGAUCAACCCCGAGCCACUGGCAGGCUCCGGGACAGGCAGCCGAGGAGGAGAGCAGCGAGCUCUUAAAAGUGAGGCUCUCCAGCCGUCGCAGGAGGCAGCCGUGCCAAAACAAGGAAUGAUUGCCUAGCCCUGCUUUUGCAAGGUUUUACAGCUCCGUUCACACUUCCAUCUGUCUCCCUCCCCCCUUCCCUGUUUCCCCCCCUCUCUUCCCCUCUCUCUUUUUCUGUCGGAUGCUUCAAGGAAAAGAAAAUUUAUGGAAGUGGUUCCAAGAGCUGUUUUCUCUGCCUUGGUGCUAGUCAGUGCAUGCUCCUGGCUGGCUCAGCCCUCCCUUCUCUCUGCCCGGCUCCAAAACUCCUUCACCUCACACAAAAGAUAGAUCAUGUUACCCUUCAUUAGCUGCCUUCUGAGCCCCGGCCCCCAGAGUUGGUGAGUGCAUCCUUAAAAGUGCCAGGUACGUGCAGCUCCCUGCCCCCUGCACCUCCUCUGUAGGAUAAAAUUCCCUUUCCAGGUUCCCACCCUGAGAAAAAUGUGAAUUUCAAGUUUUUUCCAAGACAAAAAAAGUAAGUGAUGUUAUCUAUCUGUGAAUGGACAAGUGGUAGGAAACACGGGUUGUCUUCUUUUCUGUUUUAAUCAGCAAAUUGCUUAAUAAAUGUAAGGUAAUAAAUCAGAACAGUGGCACAUGCUUGGUUUUGAGGAUAGGCUGCCUGAGUGGCACCAUGCUUGUCCUACAUUCCCAGAGCCAGUUUCAGGCAUGGUCCAACAGGGAAGGCAGGAUCCCCACUCCCUCCCAUCUCUUUUGCCUCAUUUUGCCGGAAAAGCAGCUCAAAUGUCAUGGACAGCAAAAUUAAUUUUGCUGGGACUUUCGAACUUGCAGUGGUCACCCAAGCCCAAGCAGCAGCUGCAAAAGGCAGUUCUCCUGCCCUCCACCUCCUGUCCCACUCCUUGUUCGUUUGCGUCUUUGUCUCCCUCGUUUUCUCCCUGCAUCUCACUCCAGGCCUUUCUGACCUCGGUAUUGCUCUGUCAGUGCUAAGACUGCAAAGAGAAAAACUUGAAAACUCUGAUUCAGACUCUAAUCUUGGUUCUGUGCUCCUCUUCUAAACCCUGAUGGCCAUUUUUGUCUAGAGCUGUAUCCUGAUCUCAGCAAUUUUAAGAAUUCAGAGUUGUUCACUGCCUCCUUUCCACUGGCUCAAACACAGAUCAAACCUGGAUUUCAGGGUCUGAAUUUUCUCGUACAUAUUUCUGUGUUCAGACUAGGAUCUUGAAUGACAGGAAUUGGUGACAGCGAUUUUCUGAAGAUGAACUGAUAGCUUAAAAAUGGAGUGACAACUCUGAUGGGCCCUGAAUCUGGGGACAUUUGUAGUGUCCUCUCCAGGACUGACAGGCUGAGAGAUACAGCACUAGUAUAAAAACAAGCCUGUUUUUAAAGGUUUGUCUCUUGGCCUUCCCUCCUUGGUGAUGUCUCACCUACGAUACAGCCAGUGACUCAUCCUUCAAUUAUUGUUGCUGUCAUUCUGGUCCAAAUUGCUCGGAGGAAGGGAAAUACUGACAGAGACACUUUGGGAGAUUAAAAUACCCAUGUCUGCGAUGCUUUAUAACAGCUUUGCUAUAAGGAACCCGCUUUCUCCAUGAUUACUUUGUUAUGAAUUCACUUGUGUAACACAUUCUUGGAACAGCACCAUUUGUUUCUGGAACAAGGAAUCAGCGACAGGAGAUUCAUUAUAGACGGGGAAUAUUUUCUUUAGAGAAAAGCUGUCAGGUCAAGUCAGGCUUUUAUGUUGCUGUUUGUAAAACAAGGUGUUUACAUACCUGUAAACCUGCCAUGUAUUUUUUUUCCUUCUGACGAAAGUCAUCUUUAGAAAUGUAGGUGGAAACGGUUCUUUGGCACUGAAAGCAGAGCGAGAGCAGGAAAGGCCAAGCUGUCACACUUCCUUGCCCUUUCCUCCCCUUACAAGGUGCCAGCCCCCCCCCCGGGAAUGUGCCCAGGGUGCUGAUCACCCCAAAUCCCAGGAAUGUGCAAUGUGCACCCUUCACUGUCCAAAGCACCCUGGCUCUGCCCCUGCUGCAACAUCACCUGAAGAGAGGGUGCAGCCUGGUGCCUGCAGCCUCCCUUCUGCCAAUCCCUACAUCUGUCCCCAGGACCAUGGGAGAAACCACUCUUUGUCACAAGGUUAAUAAUUAAGAUACUCCAGCUGAUAAAUAGAAGUGCUAAGAACUCGGUGUGCUGCAUAUCCCUCCUCUGCAGGCAGCUACUCAAUUCUUUUAUCUAGAUUAUCAUCUCUGAAGGAAAGUAUAAUUUGGCAAUCAUGGUCAAAGUGUUUAGACAAUUCAGUCAAUGGAAAACCCUGAGGCAAAAAGACAACUAAAACAAAAACAUGAAGACAGAGGGAUGUAAGAGGAGAGCAAAUCCCACUCAAUUUUGUCUUUAGACAAAAUCUCUCUUGCCCAUGGUGAACGCACAAGGCCUCCCAAAGACGGAGGAAAGCAGGCUUCCUAGAUAACAACAGAAAUUAAUCUAGAAAUUAGAUGCUCAAAUCAGAAAGAGGAAAGCUGCAAACCAGGCAGGAUCUCUGCACUUCUGCUUUCCUUACUCCGUGGCUGGUGGAGUUGUCAUUGGAUGUUUUAAUUCUGGAGUGAACACUUCUGUCCCCUAAUUUACCCUGUCAUUUGCCCACCCCCAGGAAAACAAAAUUUGUGUUCAGAUAAACACAGACUAACUCCCAAGCCUACACAGACUAUUUAAUUAAGAGUUUCCAAGUGGAAACCACACAUUAUUUCCUCAAAUUAAGGGACCCUCCAUUCUGCUCUAGGGACAAACAGAAAUCAGGAGGCAAGGGGCCGGGCCAUAUCCUGAACUCCCAUUCCCUCAAGAGCAUCAACUAUCAGACUGUGCAAACACAGACAUGUGCCUCUGAUGGGAAAAAUCAAACCAGAGGGCUUUGCAGGCAGAGGGCUGGAAAUGCCUGUCUCCUCCACGGCCAAAAACCUGGAGUGCGGCCAGGCUCCACUGAUCUGACUGCUGAGGAGAGGAAAGAGCUGUAAGCCAGCAAUUAGUAAUUCUGCUACUAACAGGAAAGAUUGCUGGGAAGCAUAAAUGGGAUUGCUGUUUAUAUGAGAGUUAGUGAAGGAAGUGGUGUUGCUGGUGGCUGGGGGCUUUUCAGAAAGCUGCCUUACCCGGGGAAGGAUGCGGUUUGUCAGAAUCACAGCCCCUGGGUGAGGAAGAGCUUCAUGCACAGAGGUUUGGGACUGGUUUUAUGGAUUUACAUCACUUAUAUUAUCACUUCCAGUCCAAAUGUGCAUUAUUAAACUGCAUAGCAUAAGAGGUAACACAUAAUCCUUUGGUACACCCCGAGUUUUAUUCUUACAUUGUGGUGCACAGGGGAAAAAUCUUGGACUUUCUGAACGAUUGGUUUUUAUUUUUCUCAGGAACACAGCUCACCCACAGAGAUCCCUGCAGUUUUUGAAGGGAUAGGUGCUUUUCCAAGCAGCAUGAAAAAUAAAAUCACGAAUGAUGCACUACUUAGUCAUAAUAAGCACAGAAUUAAGAAACAAGGAAGAUAGUAUAAGCUUUGGGAAGGGAACCAGUUUGUUUGUGCAAAUGGUAAAGCAAGGAAAUAUACCUCUAGAAGAAUUUCAGUAUUACUUAAUUAUCCAGAGGUCUGAGAUGAAGAGAAAAAAAGGCCUAGAAAAUGACCUGACUUCUAGUUUUCACCAACUUCAUUCUCUGCUGUUGUCAGUCACCUUCUGCUUCUCUUUUAGUGGAGCAGUUUCUCUGAAAAUCAAAGGACUGUGCUGUUAGUGCAGAAAGGUGUGGGCACAGUGACCCCUUUUUAGGAGGUAGACAGAAGCCAGGGGUAACUGGAAACAAAACAGUGGAUAAGCAUUUUGGCAUGUGUAAGAAAAUAAACUCUAAAAUGCAGAAAGUAAAAAUGGGGAAUUCUUUCUAAAUUUCCUAUUUAUUUAUCUAUCUAUCCAUCCAUUUAUCCCCAGGAAAGAGAAUGCAUUUCACAUGGGGCAAGAUGGAAAAUGAGUAAUCAGAGCAAAAUUAAAAUUUUCACCAAGUUCUUAGAAAUGAGGGAUGUUCAUUUAUUAUUACUACUAAAAAUGAAUGACAUUAGGCUGGAGGAAGGUGACAAAAGCAUUCCUCUUGGAACAUCACAUCCUGGAUUUCAUUGCACAUGUACAUUUGAAUUCGGUCUCUUAAAUAUGUCAGCCGUGUGCCCACUGGAACUCACAACUCUGUGUUGUUUGGCCAGUCCAUCUAACCACUGAAUUAAAGGGUAAUACAGACGUGCUGUGGGAUGCAGGAAUUAUUGGUGAUGACAUGUAUCACACUGGGAGCAAUGGGGCAGAGUGACAACAUAACACGAGGAGAAAAUUGUCUCUGACAUGCCCUUUGCUUUCUUUAAUGGCAUAUAAUUUCUGGUCCAAAUUAAGUAAGGACCUCCAGUGCUAUUUGACAGUACCUGGAGGAGACAACCUUAAAAAUUUGCCAGUUUUGCCUUAGAUAAAUAGAUAGAGUUUCUUCAGUGCUCCUUGCACUUCCUCCUACUUAGUUUAGAGUGCUCCCAAUCUCAGGCAGUGAUAUUUAGCUCUCUAGCAACUGGCAAGUUUUAAAGGAUCAUUGUAUGUUUUCAUGCUCAAGUGAUAAAUCUGGAGGUGAGUUCCUGGCACGGCCAAUGGGAAUGUGGAUGUGUGCUGCAGAAGACAGGUUUACAGCAUUAAAACCUGGGAGAAAUAAUUACGUGAGCCACUUUGGAUGAAAUCAUAAUUAAGCCUUAUUGGGGUUUGAAAGUUUGGAUUUACAGUAUAUUUCACUCACCAUUUUUCAUUUUCAUGAACCUCUGGCAGUUUCUGCUUCCAUCUGGGAUGAGGAGAAAAGUAGCUAAAAGCACUAUGAAUUAAAUAGUGGGAAACCCAUAUACAUUCAGGAGGGCACGCUGGCAGUCUGGAGAGAAACCUUGUUCUUUAGGGACACAGAGCUCCAUUAUGUUUCUCAGGCUGAAGAGGAGCUGUGUCGUUUUGGGGGUUCAUUCAAAGCAAAACCCUUUUCCAUGAAAAGGAAAGAAAACAUCGGAGGUUCAGUUGUGUUUUCCCUGAGGAACCCUUGCCUUGAGGCAGGGCACAGCAGAAAAUACAAAAUUCCCAUCCUGGGCAAGAAUCAGAGAAAAAAAGGACCCUUUUCCCUUGAGAGGGAAGUCUGUUGCACUGGUCUGGACUAGUGACAACACAUGCAUUGCUAUUAUGCUUUCCAGUUUCUAUCCACUGCAGGAGCAGCAAGUUGGGUGCAAUAGGAAGGACGCCACUGAUAGCUUAUAAAACUGUGAGCACUGAAAAUGGUUAAUUUACUGUGUAAGGUUUUGCAGUAUUACUCCUCAGAUCAUUAGAACAUGCUACUAGCAAUCCCAAAAACUGACAUUUUAAAGGCCUUAGAUUUCAUUCCAAGUCUGAAAAGUGCCGCAAGAACUGAGACAUGGACUUUUGCAAACACGUAGGAGUCCAGGAGAGAGACCACGUCAGACAUGUGUUCAGCACUUGUCCAUGCACUGUGAAACAUCUGAGCCUGUUUGUGUGCUCACCACAGCCAUGAAAGGACUUCCCAGACUCCUGUGUCAGAGCUUUACACCUGCAUCCUACCCAGACCUCAGAGCCCACAGGAAAACUGAUUCUGCUCACUGUCACCUUCUUGCUUUUUCACAAGGUUGAGGAGGUAGAAACUCCAAGGUUGAUCUCACAACAGUGUGACUAUGCACUUGUUUGGAAUUUUGGCCAAUAUAUUAAUAAAUAACGUAAAUAUCAAAGAAUGCAAAAUAUUGUACAGUGGCAACACCCAUUACCUCCAGCACUGGCAAGGAUUCUAAUGUAUAAACAUCUAUGUAAUACAAAAAUUCCAUUAAUUUAGAUAAUAAAGAUUAAUACACUAACCUAAAUCCAUACAGUCCUGAAGAGAGUUUGAAUGUUUUUUCCAUUAGACUCUGGGAAAAAAACCAACAAACAAAUUCAAAAGCAAUUUCUAGUUUCAAGUCACUUCAAUAGAGAUUUGAUUUUUGGGUCACUUUAAGCAUAGAAGUUGGAUUGUAGCUGCCUUUGUGCCUCUUGUAUAGAAUUCAUAAAAUUAGCAUAUUAUUAUUAUAUAUAGAAUUCAUAAAAUUAGCAUGUUAUUACCAUCCAGAGGUUAUUAAGACAGACUAAAAAGAGUAGACUUUCUGGGAAGAGAAACAAUAAAAGUGGUGGAGAUGGAGGAUAUAAGUAGCUCCAAGGAUGGAUACCAGAGACUCAGCCUUCAAAAUAAGGGCUGUCAUGACCUCCUUUCUCACCCACAGUAUGUGCACAGU